GGCAAAGGUAAUAAGGGCGCACGGUGGAUGCCUUGGCACUAAGAGCCGAUGAAGGACGUGACUAACGACGAUAUUCUAGGUGGAGCAGUAAGUACGCAUUGAUCCCUAGGUCUCCGAACGGGGAAACCCAGCUGCUACUAGCAGUU
rnacentral:rRNA from 1 species